AUGGGCAAUGGGUGUGCAUGCUUAACAACUGCUGGUGAUAGUGUUUUUUCUAGAAGAUUUGAUAAUUUCUCUCUCUGUUAUUUCCGGGACACGCUGUUGACGAUGAUCAUGAGUCACAGGGUGGCGCAAGAGUCGGUCUGAAGUUUCUCUGAUCUCCCUCACGACCAUCUUCAGAGACUGAGACCCUGGACCCCACCCCUCAAUCUGGACCUGCGUUCUGGCCAGACCGAGGUGGAUGUUUGCCAAGAGACUGUUUGUAGGUGUGCCUGGUGCUUGCCAUGGUACACUGCUCUCAAGCAGGGUACUGGUUAUAGCUCCCUCUUCCAG
rnacentral:lncRNA from 12 species